rnacentral:rRNA from 1 species
UGAUUCGACCUGGUGAGUGGCGACGGGUGAGUAACACGUGGGUAACCUGCCCAAAAUGGGGGGAUAACAUCUGGAAACAGGUGCUAAUACCGCAUAACAACUACUUUCACAUGAUCGUAGCUUGAAAGAUGGCUUCGGCUAUCACUUUUGGAUGGUCCCGCGGCGUAUUAGCUAGAUGGUGGGGUAACGGCUCACCAUGGCAAUGAUACGUGGCCGACCUGAGAGAGUAAUCGGCCACAUUGGGACUGAGACACGGCCCAAACUCC